rnacentral:rRNA from 1 species
UACGUAGGGUGCAAGCGUUAAUCGGAAUUACUGGGCGCAAAGCGUGCGCAGGCGGCUUUGCAAGACAGAUGUGAAAUCCCCGGGCUUAACCUGGGAACUGCAUUUGUGACUGCAUGGCUGGAGUGCGGCAGAGGGGGAUGGAAUUCCGCGUGUAGCAGUGAAAUGCGUAGAUAUGCGGAGGAACACCGAUGGCGAAGGCAAUCCCCUGGACCUGUACUGACGCUCAUGCACGAAAGCGUGGGGAGCAAACAGG